rnacentral:rRNA from 1 species
UACGGAGGGUGCAAGCGUUAUCCGGAUUCACUGGGUUUAAAGGGUGCGUAGGUGGGCAGGUAAGUCCGUGGUGAAAUCUCUGAGCUUAACUCAGAAACUGCCGUGGAUACUAUUUGUCUUGAAUGUUGUGGAGGUGAGCGGAAUAUGUCGUGUAGCGGUGAAAUGCUUAGAUAUGACAUAGAACACCAAUUGCGAAGGCAGCUCACUACACAAUUAUUGACGCUGAGGCACGAAAGCGUGGGGAUCAAACAGGA